GAUGAACGCUGGCGGCGUGCCUAAUACAUGCAAGUCGAGCGAACGGACGAGAAGCUUGCUUCUCUGAUGUUAGCGGCGGACGGGUGAGUAACACGUGGAUAACCUACCUAUAAGACUGGGAUAACUUCGGGAAACCGGAGCUAAUACUGGAUAAUAUUUUGAACCGCAUGGUUCAAAAGUGAAAGACGGUCUUGCUGUCACUUAUAGAUGGAUCCGCGCUGCAUUAGCUAGUUGGUAAGGUAACGGCUUACCAAGGCAACGAUGCAUAGCCGGCCUGAGAGGGUGAUCGGCCACACUGGAACUGAGACACGGUCCAGACUCCUACGGGAGGCAGCAGUAGGGAAUCUUCCGCAAUGGGCGAAAGCCUGACGGAGCAACGCCGCGUGAGUGAUGAAGGUCUUCGGAUCGUAAAACUCUGUUAUUAGGGAAGAACAUAUGUGUAAGUAACUGUGCACAUCUUGACGGUACCUAAUCAGAAAGCCACGGCUAACUACGUG
rnacentral:rRNA from 1 species